CGGCGGGGUCCCAGCCCCUCGCCGGCUUGCUGUAGAGGCAGGCGCCGGGUGUGUCGCGGCAGUGCAGCGGCCGCGAAGGGGUGUUUUGCUGUAUGUCAUAUUCCUCGUUUCGCCAGAGCGGGGGUCCCGAGCUUCGGGCGCGGGACGCGGGGGUGCUCCGAGGCUGCGAGUGGAGGCGUGACGUGACGUCCCUGGCAAGAGGCGCGCGGAGUCAGGCCUUACUUAGAACGUGUUCCCGCCGCACAGCUACCAGCGGGCGCGACCGCUACCCACGCAUGGUGCGGUCGAGUAAACGGCACCGCCUGGCGAGCGAGAGACGCAAAGGGACAUAGCCCCCUAGGAGCUGAGCUCUUCGGGGGUAAAGCGUUCUCACGUUGAUGAGACCAGGAGGCGGCGCACGCCUGGCUCCGCGGCCCAGGGGUUGCAGGUGCCCCAGGGUUCGCGGGGCGCAGACGCCGCAGAGGGCGACGCCCUGCCCGGGUCCCGCGCGGACCCGGGGGACGCAGGGUCUGACACGGAGUGCGGAGGGGCCCCAGACACGCAGUCCAUGUCCCUUGAAACCAGAGGCACGCGCGGCCACGCGCUAGGCCUUUCCCUUAAGCCUGUGACCAAGAUCUCCGGGACUCCCAGCGUUGGGACGGGCGCGCUGGCCCACGCCCAAGCGGGAGGAUCGCUUGCGCCCAGGAGAUUGAGACCAGCCUGAGCACCAAAGCGAGACCUCGUCUCUACAAAAAAUAAGACUCAAGAAGACACCCAGGGUGAAUCGCCCGUCUGCAGCCAGCCUCCCGAGCACCGUGGCCGCGUCUGACAACUGACCUCUGUGUCUGGGUGUCCCUGUCCUCAGAGGGACACGGGACCUCAGAAAGGACCACAGCCCGGCGGCAGGCAUGAUGGUGGGAAAGCUAGUUAGGACAGAAUACACAAAAGAAUUUCUCAAAAAACAGUAAACGAACAGCAACCCGAUAGAAAAACGAGGAAAGAAUAUGAAUAAGCAGCUCCAGAAGAGGAAAUUCAGGUGGCCGGUAAACACAUGAAAAAGAUGCUCAUCUUCACUGGUCACCAGGAAAAUGUGUGAGUGUAGCCCUUGACACCAAUCAGAGUAAGUCUGGGGACACCAGGGAGUGGGGAUUUGGCACCAGUCGUGCAGCUGAAGGUCGGAAUACUCCAGUGUGGGAUCCGCCUUCCAGUACCUGCCGGAGAAACUGCACAUGUCCGCAGGGAGAUGGAAAGACCUUGUUUCCUUCGGGGAUUUGUACUUCUCUGGAAGAAGAGCCGAACGGCUUCAGUGGAGCCUGUUGUCUGUUGUGAAGUGUAGCAGUUUAACCCAAACCUGCAAGCAACCCAAGUACUCAUCAGCAGGUGAAUAAACAAACUGGCACAUCCACACUGCGGAACACGGCUCAACCCCCAGGAGGACCCGGCGCGGAGCCCGGCUCAACCCUGAAGAGGAUUUCACUACUGACACACACGACAUCACAGGUGACUCUGGGAGCAAUCAGGUUCAGUGAGAGAAGCCGGACAAAAAAGAGUGCGUACCUUAUGACUCCACUUACAUAAAAUCCUAGAAAAUACAAACACCAGGCAGGCGCGGUGGCUCACCGCUGUAAUCCCCGCACUUCGGGAGGCCGAGGCAGGCACAUCACUUGAAGUCAGGAAUAUGAGACCCGCCUGGCCAACAUGGCAAAACCCCAUCUCUACUAAAAAUACAAAAAUUACCCUGGCGUGGUGGCACACGCCUGUAGUCCCAGCUACUCGGGAGGCUGAGGCAACCUGGGAGGCAGAGAUUUCAGUGAGCUGAGAUCACACCACGGCACUCCAGCCUGGGUGACAGAGACUCCAUCUCAAAAAAUAAAAAUAAAAAACAUAAAUAGCAACAGAGAGCAAAUCAGCAGUCGCUUGGGAAAUAAGGGGUAGGGAUGGGUGAGAGGGAGGGAUUACCAGGUACACGUGCAGCCUGGAUAGUGCUGAGGGCUUCACGACGUAGACGCAUCAGCCUCAUCAAAUUACACACUCUACCUAUGUGCGGUUUGCCUUGUGUCAACUGUGUAUCCAUAAAGCUAUCAACAAAAACUGCCUGCAAACUAUUUUUAACUGACAACUUUUUUUUUUUUUUGGGAUGGAGUCUCGCUCUGUUGCCCAGGCUGGAGUGCACUGGCGCGAUCUUGGCUCACUGCAACCUACGCCUCCUGGGUUCAAGCGAUCCUCCUGCCUCAGCCUCCUGAGUAGCUGGGACUACAGGUGUCCACCACCACGCCCGACUAAUUUUUGUAUUGUUAGUAGAGAUGGAGUUUCACCAUGUUGGUCAGGCUGGUCGCGAACUCCUGACCUCAAGUGAUCCACCGCCUUGGCCUCCAAAAGUGCUGGAAUUAUAGGUAUGAGCCACUGCACCUGGCCAGACAACUGU
rnacentral:lncRNA from 1 species